UACAGAGGUCUCAAGCGUUGUUCGGAUUCAUUGGGCGUAAAGGGUGCGUAGGCGGCGCGGUAAGUCGGGUGUGAAAUCUUGGAGCUUAACUCCGAAACUGCAUUCGAUACUGCCGUGCUUGAGGACUGGAGAGGAGACUGGAAUUUACGGUGUAGCGGUGAAAUGCGUAGAUAUCGUAAGGAAGACCAGUGGCGAAGGCGGGUCUCUGGUCUGUAACUGACGCUGAGGCGCGAAAGCGUGGGGAGCAAACAGG
rnacentral:rRNA from 1 species